GGUCUCAGGCAACAUGAGGUGUGAUUGGUUGUUCGUAGGGCGUAGCAGUGAGCCAGUGACAUGUUUUAAGGAUUAUUUAGGUGCUAAAUAAAAACGGACGAAUGUAAUGAUCUUGUUCCAUCAUAUGCAAUAUCGUUGUGUAGGUGUUUUGUUUAGGGCAGAGGCGAAACCAGCCAAAAGAAUCAACAGGGGUCUUUACCUUCACAAUUUUUUUUUGCCUGUCUUGGAUAGCAGUUGUUUUUUUCAGAAUUGAUCAAUAAUGUCA
rnacentral:lncRNA from 1 species